rnacentral:rRNA from 1 species
AGGACGAACGCUGGCGGCGUGCUUAACACAUGCAAGUGGAGCGAAGAACCAGGGCUUGCCCUGGGGCAGAGCCGCGAACGGGUGAGUAACACGUGGGUUACCUGCCUCGAUGACCGGGACAACCCGAGGAAACUCGGGCUAAUACCGGAUGUGCCCGCAAGGGGAAAGGAAGCUUCGGCCUCCGCAUCGAGAUGGGCCCGCGGCCCAUUAGCUUGUUGGUGAGGUAACGGCUCACCAAGGCGACGAUCCGUAGCUGGUCUGAGAGGACGAUCAGCCACACUGGGACUGAGACACGGCCCAGACUCCUACGGGAGGCAGCAGUGGGGAAUCUUGCACAAUGGGCGAAAGCCUGAUGCAGCGACGCCGCGUGAGGGAAGAAGGCUUUCGGGUUGUAAACCUCUUUCAGAAGGGACGAAGCUCCUCGGGUUAAUAGCCCAGAGGGUGACGGUACCUUCAGAAGAAGCCCCGGCUAACUACGUGCCAGCAGCCGCGGU